AGCGAACGCUGGCGGCAGGCCUAACACAUGCAAGUCGAACGAAGUCUUCGGACUUAGUGGCGGACGGGUGAGUAACACGUGGGGACGUGCCUUUAGGUUCGGAAUAACUCAGGGAAACUUGUGCUAAUACCGAAUGUGCCCUUCGGGGGAAAGAUUUAUCGCCUUUAGAGCGGCCCGCGUCUGAUUAGCUAGUUGGUGAGGUAAAGGCUCACCAAGGCUACGAUCAGUAGCUGGUCUGAGAGGAUGACCAGCCACAUUGGGACUGAGACACGGCCCAAACUCCUACGGGAGGCAGCAGUGGGGAAUCUUGCGCAAUGGGCGAAAGCCUGACGCAGCCAUGCCGCGUGGAUGAUGAAGGUCUUAGGAUUGUAAAAUUCUUUCACCGGGGACGAUAAUGACGGUACCCGGAGAAGAAGCCCCGGCUAACUUCGUGCCAGCCGCCGCAGUAAAAC
rnacentral:rRNA from 1 species